rnacentral:rRNA from 1 species
AUGAAUGCACUUAUUGUAUUGAUUGAAUUCCUAAUGUUCAUGCAUCUUUGGAUGACCUUUCACCUAGAUGUCCCUCAUUUCUAUGCAUCAUAUAAUAGAAAUUUCAUACCCCAAGCAGGAGCACCACGGUUGGAUGAUUUCCUUAAUGAUUUCUUGGUGUUUCACCAAGAAUUGAGUAUAACAAUAAUGACUCUUAUCGUGAACGUGUUCUCUUUCUUCAUUCAUCUGAUUAGUGGUUGUAUAUACUCAUCAAAUAUAUGCAUCUUUUUAACACUUCUUAUAGAGUUUUUACAGCAAGCGGUCCUUUUUGAAGUACAAUCCUUGGUCUAUUGA